CCUCAGGACAGGAAUUGUCUCUGUCUGCUAGAAGGAUGCCACAAACAUUUGUGGCACAAGACAAAUGUGUUCUAGAAACAAAUGUGUUUAUUCUAGAAAGCAGGUGCAACCACAGAAAGAGGAGAAAAUCCAGCAGAAACAGGAGCUUGGCCAGUGGCAUCUCUAGUGUCUUCUAGUUGGUAGUGAUCGUGAAAGAAAAUUUUGUGGCUGAUAAGCUUCCACAUGUGUAAUGUGACAGAAGUUUAAAGGAAAACUGUCAAACAAGAACAGUGAAAGAUCAUCCAUAAUCAAGAUACUACCAUCCAUGUGAAAGUAUAUAGAGUUAUUUUGAAGGGAGAGAGUGAAAAACAGAAGAAAUAUGGCCAUUACUUCAUAAAAGAGCUUGUAGCCUUCUCCUACAUAUCCCAUCUUUGCCAUCAGCCUGUGUAGCUGUAUGUCCAUCUCCAAGCCUGGGAACAGCCAGUGAAAUCCCCACUGAGAACUACUGCACAGGAGUACAAACUCUAAAAUUUUUAAGCAUUAUUUAGAAAGUGUAUAAAUGUAUGUUAACCCAUUACAAGUUUCCAUUAAUUUUUUUUUUAAUAACACAUGAAUAUUUUGGAGAGUGGCAACUCAGAUGAACAGAAAAAAAGCCUACAUAGGAGAAAGUUGAAGAGACAAUGGCCAUGUCUUUGGUCUCCCAACACAUAACAGGGCUAACUCCUGAACCAUUUGGACCAUGCAGUGUGGCUGUGCAUCCUCAGUGUUGGACUCUGGAGAGGACAACAGACAGCAAGGCUUUGAAGUCUUUCACAGCCCUUGGCCUUACGUGGGGUCCAAGGGAGGAAGGGGUCAAGCCACAUGGGAUACUCCUGAUCAGUUUAUAAGGAGCCUUGAGAUGUUCUGGAGACCCUCAUCUCCAGGGCAACCUCAUUCUUCCAGAUCUGCUCCUACAGCUCCUGGCUGAGCUCCUCUCUCUCCUUUCUGAAACUCUGCAUCUCAAGGUGGCAUUAGCAGCAGCCUACUUCCCUUCCCAAGCCUAAAAGG
rnacentral:lncRNA from 1 species